AGCGAACGCUGGCGGCGUGCCUAACACAUGCAAGUCGAACGUGAACGGGGGCAACUCCUAGUAAAGUGGCGUACGGGUGAGUAACACGUAGGUAAUCUACCCCAGAGUCUGGAAUAACCUGCCGAAAGGCGGGCUAAUACUAGAUAGAGCGACGGAAUCCGUAAUUGGGUUUUUCGGGAAAGGGAGGGAGCAAUCCCCCUCACUCUGGGAUGAGCCUGCGUCCCAUCAGCUAGCUGGUGAGGUAACGGCUCACCAAGGCAAUGACGGGUAGCUGGUCUGAGAGGAUGAUCAGCCACACUGGAACUGAAACACGGUCCAGACUCCUACGGGAGGCAGCAGUGGGGAAUCUUGCGCAAUGGACGAAAGUCUGACGCAGCCACGCCGCGUGAGUGAAGAAGGCCUUCGGGUUGUAAAGCUCUGUCGAGCGGGACGAACAUGCUUGGAGUGAAUAGCUUCAGGCACUGACGGUACCGCUAAAGGAAGCACCGGCUAACUCCGUGC
rnacentral:rRNA from 1 species